rnacentral:rRNA from 1 species
CCAGACUCCUACGGGAGGCAGCAGUGGGGAAUAUUGGGCAAUGGACGCAAGUCUGACCCAGCAACGCCGCGUGAAGGAAGAAGGCUUUCGGGUUGUAAACUUCUUUUAAGGGGGAAGAGUAGAAGACGGUACCCCUUGAAUAAGCCACGGCUAACUAUGUGCCAGCAGCCGCGGUAAUACGUAGGUGGCAAGCGUUGUCCGGAUUUACUGGGUGUAAAGGGCGUGCAGCCGGAGAGACAAGUCAGAUGUGAAAUCCGCGGGCUCAACCCGCGAACUGCAUUUGAAACUGUUUCCCUUGAGUAUCGGAGAGGUCAUCGGAAUUCCUAGUGUAGCGGUGAAAUGCGUAGAUAUUAGGAAGAACACCAGUGGCGAAGGCGGCUUACUGGACUGUAACUGACGUUGAGGCUCGAAAGCGUGGGGAGCAAACAGGAUUAGAUACCCCAGUAU